UACGAAGGGGGCUAGCGUUGUUCGGAUUUACUGGGCGUAAAGCGCGUGUAGGCGGGCUUGCAAGUUGGGGGUGAAAUCCCGAGGCUCAACCUCGGAACUGCCUCCAAAACUGCAAGCCUGGAGCAAGAUAGAGGCAAGUGGAAUUGCGAGUGUAGAGGUGAAAUUCGUAGAUAUUCGCAGGAACACCAGUGGCGAAGGCGACUUGCUGGAUCUUUGCUGACGCUGAGACGCGAAAGCGUGGGGAGCAAACAGGAUUAGAAACCCCCGUAGUCC
rnacentral:rRNA from 1 species